UUUGGAACUGUGCUCUCGGGGAAGUUAUGGUGUAACAGCCAGGCCAUUUUCCCAAAAGGAUUGAAGAGCCGGGUUAGAUAUAUUAGUGUUUUAGAUCCGACAAAUAUGGCUUACUAUGUCUCGGAAAUUUUGGAUGCAGAGAGGGAUGAACCUCUGUUCAUGGUAUCGGUGGAGCACUAUCCCGGUGAAGUAUUCGUUCAUGUUUCAGCUGCCAGAUGCUGGGAGAUGGUGAGAGAGAGUGAAUCAAGAGAUAACGAAGCAACAUAGACAAGGGAAAACCAACCUCCCGCCAUUGCAGCCUCGAUGGCUUUGAGAUGUUUGGCUUUUCUUCACCCGAAAUUGUUCAGUUAAAUUAGUUAGUAGACUAUAUUUGGUUCCCUCGACCUCCAUUUCUCGUAUGCUUAACAGAUGAAGUAAAACUCAGCUAUCGUUUGCUUAACAUAAUAAACCAGGCCAUUGAGGCAAUGGAUCAAAAUCGAGUUUGUACCGAGUAUUGGGACUCUCGGUCUUAUGGCUGCAAGUGCAGUUUCUGCAACAUUCUCACCUCCCUGGUAAUGCGGGCAAUGUAGUUAGAACAUCCGGGGAACAAAACAAUGUAGGGCCUCCUCGGAACAUUUGCGUGUCCGGUGAAGUUGACACACUACUCAGAGUCUGUUCAAGAAGGCGAACUCUGAAGAAUUACACUCACUUUGUAGCAUUUUAAGUGAGAAAAGGCCAACUAUGGAUAUAGACCUUGUGACUCGACUCCUCGAGGAAGAGAUUCACAAUCGUCGUUGUAGAUGAUCGAAAAUAUUUUUGUUCAUUGGGAUCCAAGAUUCGGGAGCCCAUUUCCCACAUUUUUCAGCUCUGUACAUAUGGCACAUUGCAUGUACGGCUUUCAAU